rnacentral:rRNA from 1 species
CGAAGGGUGCAAGCGUUACUCGGAAUUACUGGGCGUAAAGCGUGCGUAGGUGGUUCGUUAAGUCUGAUGUGAAAGCCCUGGGCUCAACCUGGGAAUGGCAUUGGAUACUGGCGACCUAGAGUGCGGUAGAGGGGCGUGGAAUUCCCGGUGUAGCAGUGAAAUGCGUAGAUAUCGGGAGGAACAUCUGUGGCGAAGGCGACACCCUGGACCAGCACUGACACUGAGGCACGAAAGCGUGGGGAGCAAACAGGAUUAGAUACCCUGGUAGUCCACGCCCUAAACGAUGCGAACUGGAAGUUGGGGACAACUUGGUCCUCAGUUUCGAAGCUAACGCGUUAAGUUCGCCGCCUGGGAAGUACGGUCGCAAGACUG